rnacentral:lncRNA from 1 species
GAAUGAACGACUCUGGGUUAAGCUUCCUGAGCACAGUAUUAACUCCUAUCUAUUGGUUCUUACACAAAAGCUGCAUUUGAAUAUCUUAGCAAGAAUCUGUAUCUGUCUUCUGACAGAUCUGUCUCCAGGAAACCAGAUAGCUAUAUUGAGGGGCUUAAAGCAGGACUAUGAGCUCCCUCCUUCCCACAUCUUUUAGCUGCUCUUCGAGUGACAAAAAAACACUGGAUGACCGGGCUGCAUCGCCCCUGCUGGAGACAUGAACCAGGACUGGCUUCAACAUUACUCAAAACUGGACUUUUCAUGGGAGCAUUCUAUGGUUUUCACUGUCUCUGAUGAGUGAUUGGUAAAAGCUUCUUUGAAAAUCUUGCAUGCUAAGUCCCUCCUCUACGUUCUAUGAUACAAAGACUUGGGGAACUUGAAUCUGUUCACUUAUUGAAGGCCCAGAGCAGGCCUUCAGGACAAUCCUGCUUGGUUCCAGGUUCUCCCUGAGUGGCCCUUUGAAGUGAGGACGGUGGGCAGGUGGUAUUUUGCAAGAUGGCUACAACAAUAUUUCUGGUCCCACAUGCUCUUGCAAACCCUGCUGCUUCCCCAUCAAUAUCUCCUGCAGUCUAUGUUCUUUCUUCUUGACCCUGGGCAGAACUUUGCGCAUGCGUCAAUGAAUAGAAUGUGGUAGAAAUGACAGUGUGUGACUUCCAAGUCUAGGUCAAGGAGGCAGAUGACUUCCACCUGCUUCUCUUUCUCUCUCUCUCUCUUCCUGAGCCACCAUGUCAGAAGUCCAGCUCUCCUGAAGCCAUGCUGUGUGAGAGACCGUGUGCCGAAACUACACUGAGACUGAGUAGCCCGAGGAGCCCAGCUGUUCCUGCCCCGGCUGACUGAGUCUUCUCAGCCUCGCACCAGACGUGUGCGUGAGCAGGACUGCAGAUGACUCCAGCCCCAGUCAUGAGAAAAGCUGAGCGAGAACCACCUUGUUGAGCCCAGUCAACCCCCAUAACCAUGAGAAAUAAUUAUAAUGACCACUG